GAACAAUGAAGCGUGAGCUGGAGGGGAGCGAGCGGGCCGCCGGGAGCGCACUGUGUACAAACAGAGGCGGCGUGCGUAGAGGGAGGUAGGGAGAGAGACAAACACAGAGCUAGAGAAAUUGAAAGAGAAACAUUCUCGAAGGCAAAGAGUUGAAAGGUGAAUCUACUAAGAAAAGAAUAACAGAGUGCAAUUAGCCAUGGAACUACAUCUCCAUCUGCCUCCUUUAAAGGAUGAGUCCUUUAAAGAGCCUUUGGAAGGAAUUGGGCCAUGAGAAGAGCCCUCAUGAAUGGGAUUAGUUCCCUUAUAAGAAGAGACACCAAGGAAGUGAUCUUUCUCUGCCCUCUGCUAUGUGAAGACAAGGUCAUCUGCAGUUUUUUGUUGUUGUUGAUGAUCUUCCUGUCAUAGACAAUGCUGUAACAAACAGACUAUCCACAGGUUUUCUACUUUUUUGAGCUAAAUCGUGAUGAAGCAGAUGAUAAUCUGAGGCUCGCCUGCUAUAUUGUGAAAAUCCCUCUGUGCUUGUAAUAAAGGCUUCAUCUCCACAAGACCUAAAGUAUGUGUCGAGUGUAUAAAUGGAACUCUUUUUUAAAUGGAAAAUACCAUAUUACACUAAUUAUUUGUGUGAAUUACUCAUUUCUUUAUUUUAAUGUAAAGUAUACAUUAAGGCUUCUAGAAAAAGAAUUUUGUUUGUUUUCAAAGAUAAAGAAAAGCAAUACACUUUUGAAAUUAAUAGAGAAAAAAAUAACAUCUCAAAUAGAAUUGGGCUAGUAUAGUGCUGAUUAUCUCUCUCUGUUGUAUGGUUUAUGUUAUGUGUGGUUGUUUAGAAACAUCAUUUUACUAAUCUUUGGGAUAUUGUAUCCAAGGUAGCCUGCAGAGUUUUGCUGUUCAAUUUAUCUUAUCUUUAAUAUGGAUUUGUGGGCUCUUACAGCCAUCAGCUAUACUACGAAAAGGUCCUCUUUUGUUGCUCCUUUGUCAUUUACUUCUUGUUUCCAAUCCAUCAGCACAUCUUUUAUUGAGUUCCUGUUUUGUUAAAGGCAAGACUCUAAGGAAAAGGCAAAGAAUUAUAGGAAUUACAACCUGCCCUUUAAAAGCUCAUAGUCUGUGUGGGAGUGGAAGGACUAUAAUAUUUAAAGAGAAUUAAGAUAAUUUAAUAAGAAGUGUUUCAACAAUUAACAUUGAAGAUUUUGUUUUCAUUUUGUUACUUGUUUACAGGUUUUUACCUGGAAUAAAAUAUAAAUGUUUUAGUGCCCAUAGAUAAGAGAGGUGAUAGGGCAGUGAAUAACAUAAUAUGUGUGUCUAUAAUAUGGUUGUAGGUAUAGACUGUAUAUAGAAAAAUAAGAAGAAAAAAACAAAUUCUGAAAGACUCAGAAAUAAAUCUGUUACUGAAACUAUUUGGUGAAGCCUAAGCUAUUGA
rnacentral:lncRNA from 1 species